GGCGCUAUAGCCAAGUGGUUACGGCGACAGAUUAGAAUUUGGGUUUCGCUUUGUGUGUUGCGUUUAUAUCAUCUGUUCCUCUUUGAGGGCGCAGGUUCGAGUCCUGCUGGCGUCG